rnacentral:rRNA from 1 species
CUUGAACGCUGGCGGCAUGCUUUACACAUGCAAGUCGAACGGUAACAGGCCGCAAGGUGCUGACGAGUGGCGAACGGGUGAGUAAUGCAUCGGAACGUGCCCAGUCGUGGGGGGUAACGCAGCGAAAGCUGCGCUAAUACCGCAUACGAUCUCUGGAUGAAAGCGGGGGACCGAAAGGCCUCGCGCGAUUGGAGCGGCCGAUGUCAGAUUAGGUAGUUGGUGGGGUAAAGGCCCACCAAGCCAACGAUCUGUAGCUGGUCUGAGAGGACGACCAGCCACACUGGGACUGAGACACGGCCCAGACUCCUACGGGAGGCAGCAGUGGGGGAUUUUGGACAAUGGGCGCAAGCCUGAUCCAGCAAUGCCGCGUGCAGGAAGAAGGCCUUCGGGUUGUAAACUGCUUUUGUACGGAACGAAACGGUCCGGGUUAAUACCCUGGGCUAAUGACGGUACCGUAAGAAUAAGCACCGGCUAACUACGUGCCAGCAGCCGCGGUAAAAC